rnacentral:rRNA from 1 species
UACGUAGGAUGCAAGCGUUGUCCGGAUUUACUGGGCGUAAAGCGCGCGCAGGCGGCACUCUAAGUACGUCGUGAAAUAUCCCGGCUCAACCGGGAGGGUGCGAUGUAGACUAGGGAGCUAGAGGUCGGUAGGGGAGACUGGAAUUCCUGGUGUAGCGGUGAAAUGCGCAGAUAUCAGGAGGAACACCGGUGGCGAAGGCGGGUCUCUGGGCCGUAACUGACGCUGAGGAGCGAAAGCAUGGGGAGCGAACAGG